rnacentral:rRNA from 1 species
AUUGAACGCUGGCGGCAUGCUUUACACAUGCAAGUCGAACGGUAACAGGCCUUCGGGUGCUGACGAGUGGCGAACGGGUGAGUAAUGCAUCGGAACGUGCCCAGAGGUGGGGGAUAACGCAGCGAAAGCUGUGCUAAUACCGCAUGUGAUCUGAGGAUGAAAGCGGGGGACCAGGCAGCAAUGUUUGGCCUCGCGCCUUUGGAGCGGCCGAUGUCAGAUUAGGUAGUUGGUGGGGUAAAGGCCUACCAAGCCGACGAUCUGUAGCUGGUCUGAGAGGACGACCAGCCACACUGGGACUGAGACACGGCCCAGACUCCUACGGGAGGCAGCAGUGGGGAAUUUUGGACAAUGGGCGCAAGCCUGAUCCAGCAAUGCCGCGUGCGGGAAGAAGACCUUCGGGUUGUAAACCGCUUUUGUACGGAACGAAAAGGCUCUGGCUAAUACCUGGGGCUGAUGACGGUACCGGAAGAAUAAGCACCGGCUAACUACGUG